CUUGGUCCCAUCCAAGGAGCCCCAGGGAGGGGACGGGCCUGCUCCACCUUCCUCACCAGCUCCAAACCGGGACCAUUUAGCGGGCCAGAGAAGAGGAUUCAAGAUGCUCCUGCUGCAGAUGCCACUCUCCAUGCCAAGUUUAGAUGGGGAGAGUGUGAAGAACCACCCAUAGAAUUGCCCCCCUCAAGCUUGGAGUGAUGUAAAAGAACCACUCAUGUACCUACAGCAUGAGCAAAGAUAAAUACAUAGAAACCUCCUAACAGAACUCCUGAAGAUGCUUCUUGUUCUGAGAAGACAUUUGA